AGAGUUUGAUCAUGGCUCAGAACGAACGCUGGCGGCAUGCCUAACACAUGCAAGUCGAACGAACCCUUCGGGGUUAGUGGCGCACGGGUGCGUAACACGUGGGAAUCUGCCCUUUGCUUCGGAAUAACAGUUAGAAAUGACUGCUAAUACCGGAUAAUGUCUUCGGACCAAAGAUUUAUCGGCAAAGGAUGAGCCCGCGUAGGAUUAGCUUGUUGGUGAGGUAAAGGCUCACCAAGGCGACGAUCCUUAGCUGGUCUGAGAGGAUGAUCAGCCACACUGGGACUGAGACACGGCCCAGACUCCUACGGGAGGCAGCAGUGGGGAAUAUUGGACAAUGGGCGAAAGCCUGAUCCAGCAAUGCCGCGUGAGUGAUGAAGGCCUUAGGGUUGUAAAGCUCU
rnacentral:rRNA from 1 species